AUCGCUUCUCGGCCUUUUGGCUAAGAUCAAGUGUAGUAAGAUAUGAUAAUGCUAAUAAUGGUGCAUAUCUAGUAACAAACAGGACCUAAAAAUUAACACUUCUCUGUUGCUCUGCACUGUGUAGUGUCUGAUGAAAUCUAC
rnacentral:snRNA from 1 species